AUACAGUUACAUAGGAAUCUUGUUAAAAUGCAGAUUCUGAUUCAAUAGGUUUGAGGUGAUGCUUAAGAUUCUGUAUUUCCACAAGCUCCCAGGUAAUGUUGGU
rnacentral:miRNA from 1 species